rnacentral:sRNA from 1 species
GAUCUACUAAACCAUAUGAAUCCCUAAUGAGGAACCCUAAACCUAACAAGUGGAUUACUCAGAGAUGAUCAAAGAAACACAAGUCAUA